rnacentral:sRNA from 1 species
GUUGCCGUUUUUGGUAGGCUGACCUCAAUUUUUGAAAAAAUCGACGGGGAUAACUCAAAACUAAUUCAUUUCAUGCCAUUUCUGUGUAUUCAGAGUGCAGAAUAAAACCAUGGAUGUUACUGUUA